rnacentral:rRNA from 1 species
UAUUUACAGGCUUAACACAUGCAAGUCGAGGGGCAUCAGGAAGAAAGCUUGCUUUCUUUGCUGGCGACCGGCGCACGGGUGAGUAACACGUAUCCAACCUGCCCUUUACUCGGGGAUAGCCUUUCGAAAGAAAGAUUAAUACCCGAUAGCAUAAUGAUUCCGCAUGGUUUCAUUAUUAAAGGAUUCCGGUAAAGGAUGGGGAUGCGUUCCAUUAGGUUGUUGGUGAGGUAACGGCCCACCAAGCCUUCGAUGGAUAGGGGUUCUGAGAGGAAGGUCCCCCACAUUGGAACUGAGACACGGUCCAAACUCCUACGGGAGGCAGCAGUGAGGAAUAUUGGUCAAUGGGCGCUAGCCUGAACCAGCCAAGUAGCGUGAAGGAUGAAGGCUCUAUGGGUCGUAAACUUCUUUUAUAUAAGAAUAAAGUGCAGUAUGUAUACUGUUUUGUAUGUAUUAUAUGAAUAAGGAUCGGCUAACUCCGUGCCAGCAGCCGCGGUAAUACGGAGGAUCCGAGCGUUAUCCGGAUUUAUUGGGUUUAAAGGGAGCGUAGGUGGACUGGUAAGUCAGUUGUGAAAGUUUGCGGCUCAACCGUAAAAUUGCAGUUGAUACUGUCAGUCUUGAGUACAGUAGAGGUGGGCGGAAUUCGUGGUGUAGCGGUGAAAUGCUUAGAUAUCACGAAGAACUCCGAUUGCGAAGGCAGCUCACUGGACUGCAACUGACACUGAUGCUCGAAAGUGUGGGUAUCAAACAGGAUUAGAUACCCUGGUAGUCCACACAGUAAACGAUGAAUACUCGCUGUUUGCGAUAUACAGUAAGCGGCCAAGCGAAAGCAUUAAGUAUUCCACCUGGGGAGUACGCCGGCAACGGUGAAACUCAAAGGAAUUGACGGGGGCCCGCACAAGCGGAGGAACAUGUGGUUUAAUUCGAUGAUACGCGAGGAACCUUACCCGGGCUUAAAUUGCAGUGGAAUGAUGUGGAAACAUGUCAGUGAGCAAUCACCGCUGUGAAGGUGCUGCAUGGUUGUCGUCAGCUCGUGCCGUGAGGUGUCGGCUUAAGUGCCAUAACGAGCGCAACCCUUAUCUUUAGUUACUAACAGGUUAUGCUGAGGACUCUAGAGAGACUGCCGUCGUAAGAUGUGAGGAAGGUGGGGAUGACGUCAAAUCAGCACGGCCCUUACGUCCGGGGCUACACACGUGUUACAAUGGGGGGUACAGAAGGCAGCUAGCGGGUGACCGUAUGCUAAUCCCAAAAUCCUCUCUCAGUUCGGAUCGAAGUCUGCAACCCGACUUCGUGAAGCUGGAUUCGCUAGUAAUCGCGCAUCAGCCACGGCGCGGUGAAUACGUUCCCGGGCCUUGUACACACCGCCCGUCAAGCCAUGGGAGCCGGGGGUACCUGAAGUACGUAACCGCAAGGAUCGUCCUAGGGUAAAACUGGUGACUGGGGCU